AACGCUGGCGGCGUGCUUAACACAUGCAAGUCGAACGCGAAAGGGACUUCGGUCCUGAGUAAAGUGGCGCACGGGUGAGUAACGCGUAGAUAACCUGUCUUCAUGUCUGGAAUAAUACGCCGAAAGGGGUACUAAUACCGGAUAUUCUUGCUUUUCAUAAGUUAUGCAAGCAAAGGUGGCCUCUGCAUAUGCUACUGCAUGAAGAGGGGUCUGCGUACCAUUAGCUAGUAGGUGGGGUAAUGGCCUACCUAGGCGACGAUGGUUAGCGGGUCUGAGAGGAUGAUCCGCCACACUGGCACUGGAACACGGGCCAGACUCCUACGGGAGGCAGCAGUGAGGAAUAUUGCGCAAUGGGGGAAACCCUGACGCAGCGACGCCGCGUGAGUGAGGAAAGGCCUUCGGGUCGUAAAGCUCUGUCAAGAGGAAAGAAGUGUACAAUGGCUAAUACCUGUUGUAUUUGACGGUACCUCUAAAGGAAGCACCGGCCAACUCCGUGCCAGCAGCUGC
rnacentral:rRNA from 1 species